CAGAUGUACCUAUAGGGCCAGUAAAGGAUGAUAAACCCGAUGAAAAUCUACGAAAAAUUGUAGCAGGCUAUGCCUCAGGCCAGACACCUACAAAUAUUACAAACUCCCUAUAAGACGGGAUUCUUCUCACAGCGGAAAACCACAACAGACUCGUACAACGUUUUUUCCUAUGUAUUUUAUUCAAUAUCACUGUAAAGGAAACUCUUUUUUAUAAUUUAAUGGAUAAAUCAUUAAAAACAAAUCAGUGGAAGUCUUAUUCGUAAUAAUUGAUUAUCUCCGUUUUUUUGAUUAGAAAUUGUUUUAAUUUACCAAUUACUUUGGCGUAAUCAAUUUGUGAUACGAUGUAAAUUGAGUAGAAGAUGAUUUCGUGAUGUACUUCGGAUGUGGUAUCAUUAAGUGUAAUCUGAUACAAUCUGAACCAAUUCGCAAACUUAUAAACGGGAAACCUGACUGGGAUAAAUUCAAACGAUACGUUUCAGAUAAUAUAACAAUUCCUAAGAAUAUCUCCAAUACAUUAUUGGCUGAUGUAGCAAUCUCUCACCUUCAUGAAACAAUUUCCUAUGCGGCAGAACAGUGUACAAUUCCCUCAAAACCAACUUUGGGUCAAAAUUACAAUUUCAAAAAUUACCCCAUCAAUACAAAAAAUUAUAAAGAACAAACACCAUAUAAGAAAACAAUAGCAACUUCAUAGAAGACCAGAAGAUCGCAAGAAGCUAAAUUUCCUUACCAAAAAAGUAAAACUACUACUCGAAGAACAUAGAAUAAAUUCAUAUCAAAAAUAUUUAUCUUCAAUACAUCCCGCUGAUUCAAAUCUUUGGUUAGUGACCAAAAGAUUAAUCAAGCCCAAUGACAACAAAAUCCCACCUCUAAAAUCUGGAAACAGUCGCGAUAAGUCAACCAUCGAAGCAAGUCGUUCGUUAAUUGUCGCUCCGUAUCUACGUUUUGCUAUCGCCUUUUGUAUAAUGCCGGCGUCGUCUUCGGGCGGCGACGACAAUCGUCCGCACGCUCCUAGCAGUUCGGUCGGUAGAAUAGGAAGAGCAUCAAGGGCAUCGAAUGCUUCCAGACCACACAACACGGAUCAGGAAUAGACCAUCAAGACAAGUAGAAAAGCAUCUCAAUCUAAGAAGGUAUCAACUCCAACUAGCCCUAUAUCUCCCACUCUACAGCAGAUUAAAAAUAAUCCACCAGUAUUAAAUAUGCCCAACAAUACAUUCGAUUACGACAUUUCGUUAUCUCAUUCUACUAACGACACGGCCUAUAAUAAUAUGAAUAUAGAUAUAGAUUUAUCGCA